GGCCUCCCUCUUUGCGACUAUCGAUCAUGGGGCUCCGUGAUCGAUCGCCCCGCAGAGGGAGGCC
rnacentral:pre_miRNA from 1 species